rnacentral:rRNA from 1 species
AUUGCACGCUGGCGGCAGGCCUAACACAUGCAAGUCGAACGAGUGGCGGACGGGUGAGUAAUGUCUGUGAAACUGCCUGAUGGAGGGGGAUAACUACUGGAACCGGUAGCUCAUACCGCAUACCAUCGGAUGUUCCCAGAUGGGAUUAGCUAGUAGGUGGUGUAAAGGCUCACCUAGGCGACGAUCCCUAGCUGGUCUGAGAGGAUGACCAGUCACACUGGAACGGAGACACGGUCCAGACUCCUACGGGAGGCAGCAGUGGGGAAUAUUGGACAAUGGGCGAAAGCCUGAGCCAGCCAUGCCGCGUGUGUGAAGAAGGUCUUCGGAUUGCAAAGCACUUUAAGUUGGGAGGCGUUACCAACAGAAUAAGCACCGGCUAACUUCGUGCCAGCAGCCGCGGUAAUUC